rnacentral:rRNA from 1 species
GACGAACGCUGGCGGCGUGCCUAAUACAUGCAAGUCGAGCGAAGCGGCGGAUGGGUGAGUAACGCGUGGGUAACCUGCCCUUAAGUCUGGGAUACCAUUUGGAAACAGAUGCUAAUACCGGAUACUAACGGAUGGACCGGCGAUGCAUUAGCUAGUUGGGAAGGUAACGGCUUACAAAGGCGAUGAUGCAUGGCCGAGUGGAGGGACGGAUCGGCCACAUUGGGACGUGGAAACGGCCCAAAGUCCUACGGGAGGCAGCAGUAGGGAAGCUUGCACAAUGGACGAAAGUAUGAUGGAGCAACGCCGCGUGAGUGAAGAAGGUUUUCGGAGCGUAAAGAUCUGUUGUUGGUGAAGCGGUAAUCAACCAGAAAGUAACGGCUAACUACGUGCCAGCAGCCGCGGUAAUUC